UCUCACUCUGACACCAUCAACCAACAUACUCUGCACCGUAUGGGAUUUACUAAGACUGAUGGUGGUUGGACUAAAAGUGUAGAAGAGAGAGCUGAAGAGAGAGCUGAGUAUAGAGCUGAGGAAGAAGGACCAUCUUCACCCCUCUAUGAUCUCAGGGCAGCAUCUCCAGACAUUCAGUUCGUUUCAGAUCCCGAGGCUGGCCCAUCAGAGUCUACGAAGAGGCACACUCCAGUCCAGCAGCCAGACAGCAGAGCACAUCCCUC
rnacentral:lncRNA from 1 species